rnacentral:rRNA from 1 species
UACGAAGGGGGCUAGCGUUGCUCGGAAUCACUGGGCGUAAAGGGCGCGUAGGCGGUGCGGUAAGUCACCUGUGAAAUCUCCUGGCCCAACUGGGAGCUUGCAGGCGAAACUGCCGUGCUGGAGUGUGGGAGAGGUGCGUGGAAUUCCUGGUGUAGCGGUGAAAUGCGUAGAUAUCAGGAGGAACACCUGUGGCGAAAGCGGCGCACUGGACCACAACUGACGCUGAGGCGCGAAAGCUAGGGGAGCAAACAGG